rnacentral:other from 1 species
UGCUCUCUGCCCUGCAGGUGAGGUCCAGACGCCCAGGCGGAAUGAUAAUUCAAUGGGAAAGCUUACAGGGGCGCGGUGUGCCAGCCCACCAGCGAGUGGGACGCCUGAUGCGCCUACAAGCGAUCCCACCUGUUGGUACUCGCUAGGAGGCCAACGGAUCCACGGCAGGUGUGGAGAGCAG